GAGGCGGCUCGGUUUGCCACUCGUCUUUAUCUGUACACGGUGACACUGCGUGUCGGCCGUCUAGAAAGUUCUAGCACACCCGUGAGAUGCUGCACGUGCCCCAUGGCUCUGUUACCGUUACGGCCUUGAAGGCUGCGUAUGCAAUGCAUCGCGUGAUAAACGUGUAGGUAAUGGUGACGUCACGGUUGACUUAUUUAAAACCACACCGAGAAUUAAAAAAUAUAUAAUUUAUUCAAACCGGACUAGAUAUAUUUAACAAAAUAAAUCAAUCAUAUUGUAUAUCUUUAUGAGUUAUGAUGGUGUAUGUGUUUUUAAAAGGUAUCCAUUAUCUAUCAGAAAUUAUAAUUAUAAUUGUGCGGUUGAAACGAGAAGUGAAAUGUUUGUUUUUAUAUAUAAUUA